AUUGAACGCUGGCGGCAGGCCUAACACAUGCAAGUCGAACGCGUGGCGGACGGGUGUGUAAUGUGUGGAAAACUGCCUUAUGGAGGGGGAUCUCUACGGGAAACUGUAGAUAAUACCGUAUACCCUCGUAUGUGCACAUAUGGGAUUAUCUAGUAGGUGGGGUAACGGCUCACCUAGGCGACGAUCCCUCGCUGGUCUGAGAGGAUGACCAGCCACACUGGAACUGAGACACGGUCCAGACUCCUACGGGAGGCAGCAGUGGGGAAUAUUGCACAAUGGGCGCAAGCCUGAUGCAGCCAUGCCGCGUGUAUGAAGAAGGCCUUAGGAUUGUAAAGCACUUUAAGUUGGGAGGCGUUACCAACAGAAUAAGCACCGGCUAACUCCGUGCCAGCAGCCGCGGUAAUAC
rnacentral:rRNA from 1 species